CACGUAGGGGGCGAGCGUUGUUCGGAAUUACUGGGCGUAAAGGGCAUGUAGGCGGUCUGGUAAGCCUGGCGUGAAAGGCCACAGCUCAACUGUGGGAUUGCGUUGGGAACUGCUGGGCUUGAGUUAUGGAGAGGGAGCUAGAAUUCCUGGUGUAGGGGUGAAAUCUGUAGAUAUCAGGAAGAAUACCGAUGGCGAAGGCAAGCUCCUGGCCGAUGACUGACGCUGAGGUGCGAAAGUGUGGGGAUCAAAC
rnacentral:rRNA from 2 species